UACGGGGGGGGCAAGCGUUGUUCGGAAUUACUGGGCGUAAAGGGCUCGUAGGUGGCCAACUAAGUCAGACGUGAAAUCCCUCGGCUUAACCGGGGAACUGCGUCUGAUACUGGACGGCUUGAGUUUGGGAGAGGGACGCGGAAUUCCAGGUGUAGCGGUGAAAUGCGUAGAUAUCUGAAGGAACAUCAGUGGCGAAAGCGACUUCCUGGACCAAUACUGACGCUCAUGUGCGAAAGCGUGGGGAGCAAACAGG
rnacentral:rRNA from 1 species